rnacentral:rRNA from 1 species
UACGUGAGGGGCAAGCGUUGUCCGGAAUUAUUGGGCGUAAAGAGCGUGUAGGCGGUCCGGUAAGUCAGCUGUGAAAGUCAAGGGCUCAACCCUUGAAAGCCGGUUGAUACUGUCGGGCUAGAGUCCGGAAGAGGCGAGUGGAAUUCCCGGUGUAGCGGUGAAAUGCGCAGAUAUCGGGAGGAACACCAAUGGCGAAGGCAGCUCGCUGGGACGGUACUGACGCUGAGACGCGAAAGCGUGGGGAGCAAACAGG